rnacentral:pre_miRNA from 1 species
AAAAAGACAAACCCUGGUUUCCGUGCCCAACAUUUGACCGUCCGUCUUAUUUGAAAAAAUUUUUAAAAAAAUUAAAAAGACAAGUCACGUAUAAAAUAUUAAUUAUGUUUUAUCAUCUAACAACAAUGAAAAUACGAAUUAUAAAAAAAAUUUCAUAUAAGACGGAUAGUCAAAGUUGGACACGCAAACCCAGGGUUUGCCUUUUU